CCUACGGGAGGCAGCAGUGGGGAAUAUUGGGCAAUGGGCGCAAGCCUGACCCAGUAACGCCGCGUGAAGGAAGAAGGCUUUCGGGUUGUAAACUUCUUUUGUCAGGGACGAAGCAAGUGACGGUACCUGACGAAUAAGCCACGGAUAACUACGUGCCAGCAGCCGCGGUAAUACGUAGGUGGCAAGCUUUAUCCGGAUUUACUGGGUGUAAAGGGCGGGUAGGCGGGACUGCAAGUCAGUUGUGAAAACCACGGGCUCAACCUGUGGCCUGCAUUUGAAACUGUAGUUCUUGAGUACUGGAGAGGCAGACGGAAUUCCUAGUGGAGCGGUGAAAUGCGUAGAGAUUAGGAGGAACGCCAGUGGCGAAGGCGGUCUGCUGGACAGCAACUGACGCUGAGGCGCGAAAGCGUGGGGAGCAAACAGGAUUAGAUACCCGUGUAGUC
rnacentral:rRNA from 1 species